GACUCCUUCGGGUUAUAGGGUCAAGCAAUGAAGCGCACACGGUGGAUGCCUAGGCAGCCAGAGGCGACGAAAGACGUGGCAGCCUGCGAUAAGGCUCGGCGAGGUGGCAAACAACCUGUGACCCGGGCAUUUCUGAAUGGGGAAACCCACUCAUCACAAGAUGAGUAUCGUGCACUGAAUACAUAGGUGUACGAGGCGAACCAGGGGAACUGAAACAUCUAAGUACCCUGAGGAAAAGAAAUCAACCGAGAUUCCCCUAGUAGCGGCGAGCGAACGGGGACCAGCCCUUAAGCGUGUGACUGAUUAGGCGAACGUGCUGGGAAGCACGGCCGUAGCGGGUGAUAGCCCCGUAGUCGAAAAUCUGAUCACGUGAAAUCGAGUAGGUCGGGGCACGAGAAACCUUGACUGAACAUGGGGGGACCAUCCUCCAAGGCUAAAUACUCCUGGCUGACCGAUAGUGAACCAGUACCGUGAGGGAAAGGCGAAAAGAACCCCGGAGAGGGGAGUGAAAUAGAUCCUGAAACCGUGUGCGUACAAGCAGUCGGAGCCCACUUGUUGGGUGACGGCGUACCUUUUGUAUAAUGGGUCAGCGACUUAUUUUCAGUGGCGAGGUUAACCGUAUAGGGGAGCCGUAGGGAAACCGAGUCUUAACUGGGCGCGCUAGUCGCUGGAAAUAGACCCGAAACCGGGCGAUCUAUCCAUGAGCAGGGUGAAGGUUGAGUAACAUCAACUGGAGGCCCGAACCAGGAUCUGUUGAAAAAGAUUUGGAUGACUUGUGGAUCGGAGUGAAAGGCUAAUCAAGCCCGGAGAUAGCUGGUUCUCCUCGAAAGCUAUUUAGGUAGCGCCUCAUGUAUCACCACCGGGGGUAGAGCACUGUUUCGGCUAGGGGGUCAUCCCGACUUACCAACCCGAGGCAAACUCCGAAUACCGGUGAGUGCAGCGUGGGAGACACACAGCGGGUGCUAACGUCCGUUGUGAAAAGGGAAACAACCCAGACCGUCAGCUAAGGUCCCCAAAUCCUGGUUAAGUGGGAAACGAUGUGGGAAGGCUCAGACAGCUAGGAGGUUGGCUUAGAAGCAGCCAUCCUUUAAAGAAAGCGUAAUAGCUCACUAGUCGAGUCGGCCUGCGCGGAAGAUGUAACGGGGCUAAACCAGGUACCGAAGCUACGGGUGUGUUCUUAGGAACACGCGGUAGAGGAGCGUCGUGUACGCCGAUGAAGGUGGAUUGAGAAGUCUGCUGGAGGUAUCACGAGUGCGAAUGCUGACAUGAGUAACGAUAAAGGGCGUGAAAAACGCCCUCGCCGGAAGACCAAGGGUUUCUGUUCGACGCUAAUCGGAGCAGAGUGAGUCGGCCCCUAAGGCGAGGCCGAAAGGCGUAGUCGAUGGGAAACGGGUCAAUAUUCCCGUACCGGACAUGAUUGCGAUGGGGGGACGGAGAAGGCUAGGUGGGCCAGGCGUUGGUUGUCCUGGUGAAAGUGAGUAGGCUGAGGGUCUAGGCAAAUCCGGAUCCUUAAGGCCGAGACACGAGAUGAACUGACCACGGUCAGGAAGUCACUGAUGCCACGCUUCCAGGAAAAGCCUCUAAGCUUCAGAUCAUGUGCGACCGUACCCCAAACCGACACAGGUGGUCAGGGAG
rnacentral:rRNA from 2 species